AUUUCUUUCAAUUGUGUAGGAAUUAGAAUACCUUCAACAUUUCCUUUAUGAAAUGAUGUGCACCAGCAAAUUUUUACCAGGAUCUAUUUUCUCCCGUUACUCCACAUUUGUUGACCGCAAAAAUGAACAACUCGAGCAAAUCUUUAUUGCUUAUCCUUUAAUGGGACAUCAGUACUUAAAAUUUGUUGUUCUGAAAGAGGCCAUGAUACACUUAGUUUGCAUAAGCACUGGACUCCCUUAUGAAGAACUCAGUGGAGCGUAUCAAUAGCCUAGGGUACUGCUUUCCUACUGG